rnacentral:lncRNA from 1 species
CGCUUGUCUUGUCGCAUGCAGACAGGCCGUCCGAACGUCACCUCGCGCGCGAACAAGCGCUGCACACUGUUUGCGUGCCGUCCGCACAGUAGGCCUGCGUGAAUAAGACCUGUGCACCUGCAGGCUAGCGUGUAGUGCACCGCCAUUGCCUUGGGCGGCACGCCACCUCCAUCGGUGGAGAAGGCCUUCCUCCCUCAUUUUUGUUGCCAAACAUCUUU